rnacentral:tRNA from 1 species
UGCAAAUAUAGUUUACUUAAAACACUAGAUUGUGAAUCUAGAGAUAGAAGCCCGCAUCUUCUUAUUUACC